UUUGUGAUAAUUUGACCGCGUUGGUUGUUUUCUUUCACUUGGAGCACCUUCGGGGCGUUUGUAAAGACAGGAGCUGCGUCUAGAAGCCAAAAUUAUUGAGGGCUCACUAAGUGAAAAAAUGAGGAGCAUAAAGCCUCGCACACAUCUCUUGACCAAGAUUGAUGUCCCCAUCAACUAAGGGGAUUUUUUUCACGACAGCGAGAGAAUCGUCUAAAUUUUUACGAGUCGUAGAC